rnacentral:rRNA from 1 species
UACGGAGGGUGCAAACGUUGCUCGGAAUCAUUGGGCGUAAAGCGCACGUAGGCGGCGCGUUAAGUCGGAUGUGAAAGCCCCGGGCUCAACCCGGGAAGUGCAUACGAAACUGGCGCGCUUGAAUAUGGAAGAGGGUCGCGGAAUUCCCGGUGUAGAGGUGAAAUUCGUAGAUAUCGGGAGGAACACCAGUGGCGAAGGCGGCGACCUGGGCCAAUACUGACGCUGAGGAGCGAAAGCGUGGGGAGCGAACAGGAUUGAGAUACCCC